UGGGGAAUUUUGGACAAUGGGCGCAAGCCUGAUCCAGCCAUGCCGCGUGAGUGAAGAAGGCCUUCGGGUUGUAAAGCUCUUUCGGCGGGGACGAAACGGUUCGUGACAACACCACGGACUAAUGACGGUACCCGCAUAAGAAGCACCGGCUAACUACGUGCCAGCAGCCACGGUAAUACGUAGGGUGCAGGCGUUAAUCGGAAUUACUGGGCGUAAAGCGUGCGCAGGCGGUUUGUUAAGACAGGUGUGAAAUCCCCGGGCUUAACCUGGGAAUUGCGCUUGUAACUGGCAGGCUAGAGUGUGGCAGAGGGGGGUGGAAUUCCACGUGUAGCAGUGAAAUGCGUAGAUAUGUGGAGGAACACCGAUGGCGAAGGCAGCCCCCUGGGUUAACACUGACGCUCAUGCACGAAAGCGUGGGGAGCAAACAGGAUUAGAUACCCUAGUAGUCCCUGAGCGGGCUGGCAAGGCGCAU
rnacentral:rRNA from 1 species